UUUUUCUUUUUCUUUUUUGUCUUUUUAGGGCCACAUGUGGGGCAUAGGGAAGUUCCCAGGGUAGGGGUUGAAUCAGAGCUUCAGUUGCCAGCCUACAACACAGCCAUGGCACCUCGGGAUUCAAGCCAAGUCUUCGACCCACACCACAGCUCACGGCAAUGCCGGAUCCUUAACCCACUGGACAAGGCCAGGGUUCGAACCCACAUCCUCAUGGAUACUAGUCGGGUUUGUUAUCGCUGAGCCACAACGGGAAUCCCAUUUUUCUUAUUUUUAAGUGGGGAUAACAAUGACCCUUGUCUCCACAGCAUCAUUGUAUGAACUUGAUCACGGGAGGGGGGAGCAUUUUCGUCCUUCCUCCAAAGCACGUGCCCAGCUGAGAUCAGCAGCCACAGACCAGCUUCCGAAGGCGUGGGGUUGACCACGGUCGGCCCCACCACUACAAACCUCUCCCUGUCUACAGAGUUUGGCUUAUGGUUUGCACAUUAAAUAAAACACAGAAGAUAUAACCUCCCCUCUCUGAACACACAGUACUUGGUACUGCAGGGCAGGGAGCAUCUUGGCCACAGAGGCUUCUCAGAAAAAAAUGUUAGUUGCCACAGGGGCAGUGCCAGGACUCAGCCGUGAGAAGCCACCAGCCAGGCCAUGGGUUAGCAGUGUCUUCAGAAGACACUUAAGGUUGAUCUGAAUCAGAAAACUGGGUCAUGCCUGAGCUUCUCUUAUCAGCCUGGUUUUCUUUAGGAGCAAAAACCACCCCAUUUCAAAUGCCUGAACAGCCUCAGAAAGUCAAAACCAACCAGGCUUUUGCACGGAAACAUGAACCAGACCAAGGGCUCCCCUGGAGGUGACUCAGAGAAGCGCCCACCUGCAUCCCCUGCUGAGUCCCCUGCAGAGGUACACGUCCCACCAAGCCAGGCAAGAGGUCGUGGUGGCUUCGCAGCUGCGUUGCUCGGCUGGUAUCAGCGUUCAUUUGUGCAGGCUUCGUUUCCAGAGCUGCAGCGUGCACACCCUGGGGUGUGCCCGGGGGAUCUAUGCGGCUGCUCUAAAGCCCCCAGCCCCCGCCAUGUCCCCUGGGACACCCACCAUGCCGCCCUCUGGUUCUAGGACGGCCAGGCCAGGCCGGGAGGAGAAGCAAAGUCAAGGCAGAGACGGGAGCUGGAAGACAAGCACGUGGAAUGAGGCCUCCCUCUCCCGCGUUCGAAGCCAAUUUCCCACCUGGCCACACGAGGACAUUUAAUUACUGCUGUGCUCGUCACCUCCUGCAAGUCAUUCAUAACGACCCUCUGUAAAUACCGGCCCAUCUCACAGCCAGAAGCCACCGGCCACCCCCUCCUGCCCCACCACGGCCGCCCACCGGCUCCCGCGGGCCUUCCUGCAGGUUUCAAUCCUGGAGACGGACCCUAGAGGCAACCCGGUUGAAUUCACCUUUCAAAUGAGAUUUCUGGAUGCAUCCAUUUCAUUUCCGUCGCCCCCUAAUGCUGUGGAGGGUUUUUUUUUUUUUAAUUCUAUUAAAAAAUGCAAUUAAAUUUGUCUCAUGGAAUUUGCUCUUUAAAAAUCCGGACAGCUGCUUGCUCGUGGCAGCAUCAUGCCCUUGACUCCUUCGCAUGGCUUUUCUUCAUCUCCGUUCAGUUAUUUCACUGAGGAUUAAAGAUGGGCUCACCAGAUGGCAAAUGCCAGGAUCUCUUCCCCCCCACCCCCCGACUCAGAACAGUAUCCUGUCGGCCGGGAUGCACAGCCCAGGCCCCUCUGUGCAGCUCUCCGGACAAACAAUUGUUCCUUUUAAAUUCGCUCAACUCCAAAGAACAAUGAAGACACAGCUCAAGAACAGAAAGCUGAGCACACAGCUCUGGGAACAUUGCGGAGCCCCGCCCCGCAGGCCCCGCCCCACAGGCCCUUCCUCUCUGCAUCUUUCUUGCUUCCUUUGGGCCAGGAAGCCCAUGAGGUCGUGUCUGCGGCGAGAUGGUGGGUGUUUCCAAAGAAAGACUCCGUAGACACAGCAUUCUGCUUGCCGACAGUCAGGGAUGCGGGGGAUUUGGCCUGGCUGGCUUUAUAAACUACUGACGGGCCUGCUCCUUGCAAAACACUAUUUUUAUCAGUUAAUUCCACAGUUUUCUUAUUAAAUAACAAGGGGAACACAUUUCUCGUGUGUUUUCUUGUCGCGAUUAAUUGAACCUGCCGCCCUGCACAAAAAGUCCGGUUCUCAUCUCCGCUGCCGGACGAGGCACAGCCCUUGACAGUUCAGCUCCUUCUAUGAACAGGAACGCGUUCCACUGCCAGGCCGGUCCUUUCCCCGAAUCCCCGAAAUGAGUUCCUUCCCUCACAAGAACACGUCUCUGGGUCUAAGACCAACGUCUGCAGAACAGACGUCGCCCUGGAAAUGACUUUCCUGCUGCGGUUCUGCCUGUGCCUGCGGGCACGUGGUCAGGUGCAGCGCAGAGCCCGAGCAGCCCGGUCGGUCACACUUGGGGAGGAGACGCGACGUGGGGAGAGAGGCCUUGUCGUGCUCAUUUUUCAAACAGGCCCACGUGCGAUGUGACUGGGCUGGGGGUGGAGCAGGAAGGGAAAGGCCAAAGCCAGUGACAGUCACUGCGGCCUGGGCUUUUCUAUUGCUGUUGGUUAUUCUAAUUGAUAAUCACUUUAAAACUAGUUUUAUUAUGUGCUUAACCCUUGACCUAGAAAGGGGACCCAAGUCAGGCCCUCAUGUUAUUGCUCCAACCCACAGAGAAAGACUAGAAGGCCAACAAGAAAAGCCACAAUUUUUGAGGCCAAGUAGUUAACCACAGCAAUUACAGAAACGGUCCCGAGAAAAGGAAGUUCAGGUGUUUUCUCAAUAUAUUCCUUGUGGUGGGCGGGCAGCCUCUAAGAGAGCUGCCUCGGGAUCCCCCCUCCUGAUAGUCAGUCCUCCUGUGCUCCCUCCCUCUUGAGUGUGGGCUCAACUUACUGAUCAGCUUCUAAUGAAGAAAACGCUGCAGAAACAGGAGCUGUCACUCCCAAGACUGGGUUACCCAUAGCCUGAGGCCUCUUCCUUGGGGGGCCCCUCACUUGCUCGUUGACCGUAAGGAAAGCCGGCCCUCUGAUGAAAACCGGGCCACAAGAUCCUGAGAGGGAGGUAGAGAAAACCAGGGGCCCCGCGUCUUACAGUCCAGGAGCCGCAGAACCCUCCCAGCAACCACAGCAGGGAGCUUGGAAGCAGGUGCCCCCAGCCCAGAGCACAGGCUAGUUUGCAGGCCAGAAGAGAGCCUGACUGCAGCCCUGCUAGAAAGUCUGGGACAGGAGUUCCCGUCCUGGCUCAGCAGAAGCAAAUCGGACUCGUGUCCAGGAGGAUGCGGGUUUCGAUCCCUGGCCUCUCUCCGAGGGGUGAGGAUCCUGCAUGGCUGUGGCUGUGGUGUAGGCCACAGACGUGGCUCAGGUCUGGCGUGGCUGUGGCGUAGGCCACAGACGUGGCUCAGGUCUGGCGUGGCUGUGGCUGUGGCUGUGCUGUAGCCUGGUAGCUGUAGCUCCGACUCAACCACUAGCCUGGGAACUUUCACAUGCCCCAGGUGCGACCCUAAAAAGACAAAUUAAAAAAAAGAAAGAAAGUCUGAGACAGCAGCGCACAGCUAAUCCAUACCCAUGACUCCUUAUCUCAUGGAAAACAUUGGCUUUGUGGGGGUGUUUUGGUCAUUUCAGGGCCCCACUCACAGCAUAUGGGGAUCGAACCCCCCACCUCACGGCUCCUAGUCAGAUUUGUUUCCGCUGUGCUACGAUGGGAACGCCUGGCUUUGUUUGUUUUUAAGCUGCUAAGUUUGGGAGAAAUUUCUUAGUCAGCAAUUGAUAAUUCAUACCCAACUUCUCCCCGGUAAACUUAAUCCAGAAUUAACACGACAUACUGCAGUGAUGGCGGGAAAAAGUCGACUGCUUCCCUGUCUUUUACUCAUGAAAUUAUUAAUCAACCAAAACCCUUUUUCCCUGCCAGAUAUGAUCUUAAAAACUUCGCAGCACCCCCCUCCCCGACGCCAUCCCCAAUGCUCGGGGUUGGCAACGGAGGGAGAAGCUAGUCACCGCCCCCUGAGCCAAGGGCAGACUCAGAGUCAGCGGGCCUGAGGUCUACUCGCAAAAGCCCAGAGACUUUGGGGAAGCGUUUACCCUCUUUGAACGUCGUCUUCAUCUUCCGUAAAACGGAAAUGACCUCUUUGGACGCUCCGCGGUACAAGCAACAGAGCUCGACAAAAACAGUCUUCGGAGGACUCUUCGUCUUCCCAGGCACCCUCCUCAGGGGCUGGGCUCUGCUCUUUUGGCCACAAGCUGGUUCCAGCAGCACCACGUCCUCCUCAGGGAGGCUCCCCAGCAUGAAACGGAAGCGCUCUUGUCUCCAGGUCUGUAAUUGAGGAAAGAUGCCCCACCCAGUCCCCAGCAGAAUUCCCCAGCGCCCUCUUUGCCAGACUUGGCUUUCAUGCCUCAUCCUUAAGGAACGGAUGGCCGAGGGCACUGAGGCGACUGUGACCUGCUAAGACCGCCCCUUUUCACCCCUGGUGUUGGAAGACACCCAGCCUGUCCCGAAGCAUCUGGUCCUCCGGAGAGGAGCUGGCAGAUGCUGAGCUCCUGUAGACAAGAACAGGGGAGGCUGCUGUUGGGUGCGCAUUCGUCCCUGUGGGUGGGCCAGGUCCUGUUGGAUGUGACACACGUGGCACUCAUGCCUUGCUUGCGCUGCGGGCCCGUGCAGGUCAGUGAGGGCGGGGCUCGAGGUGGGCCCACGGCAGGGGCCUUGGCACGGGCUGCAGCAGCAGAGGAAGCCCCGAGGCCUUUCCUUCUUUGUCAAGUUCACUCACACAUCUUUGUCCAGAGCAAAUGAGGGCCCCGCGUCACCUCACGGGGGCUGGAAAGUGCCAGCUUCCAUGGACCCGGAGAAAGACAAUGGAACAGGAGUGGUUUUCUCCGACCCCAGUAAGCAAACACCUCGGAUGGCAGUGAAGCCUCAUCUCCUCAUUAGGUUUAUCGAGGUUCAAAUGAGAUCGUGUGUUUAUUCGUUUCUCAUUCAUGAAACACCUAAUAUGAUUUCCCAGGCACUGGCCUGGGGCAGCUCGGCAAGACACAGUCACGGCCCCUCCCAGAUGUGACCCCUGAGAAGGGGACGAAGUGGCUCCGGGUCCUUCCAAGCUGGCUCGCCUUUCCUUCCCCUUCCAGGUCUAGCGUGCUUCCCUCGCGUGCCUGUCCUCCUGCGGUUGGUCUUAACUUUGUCUUCCUCUUGUUGGUGUCAAGUCCUCGCAGGGCCCUCAGGAGGCUAUGUCGCGAAAGGGGACUGGUCCGGAGUGGCUCGGUGUCCAGGGGUGGCAGUGACAGCGGCGGGGACGACGCUGAGCCCAUAUUCACAGACGCCGUCUUUCCUUGAUCUCGCUCAGCCCACCGAGAGGGAGAAGAUGGGUUUGAUCUGGCUCCUUUCCAAAUUCCUUUCCCAUGGCUUGGCUGCCUCAUGGGAAACGAGAUUCCUGCUCGAGUCAAUUCUAAGCGCUCAUCCACCUCCCCCUUUAACCAGCACCGUUAUUGCUGGUUUCGCACCUCUUGCAAGUGUCAGCUUCUUAAAGAAGGCGUCAUGAUACCGUUUGAGUUGACCAGCCUACGGUUACAGAGAGGCCCCCAAACUUCAGUGGCUUCAUGCAAACUACCAGCUGGGUCACCCGCUCAGUUCAGGUCUGCAGGGUUCUCCACCUGACCAACAGAGGCUCAGCCUGAUGGCGGUUGUGCACUUUCAACCGUGUCUGCCAGAGCUGCCCUGGCCAUUGGCAGCUCCACCAACUCGAGAAGAAAGCUCGUGGAUGGAGCUCGGAGGAGGUUUUCUGGGGGCUGGGUUUAGAAACCAUCUGUCACUUCUGCCCACAUAGCACUGCGGAGAGCGCAGCCACGUGACUGCCCCCAACAGCAAGGGAGGCUGGGCAACAUCACUUAAUGUGUCCCCAGGAAGGAAAGAGAACAGAUUUUGGUGGCUAGCCAGCACUCUCGCCCACACUCACCCACACGACUUCCUGUUUUUUAAUUUGGCAAAAGCUGAGAUCACAGAGUGUUUCUAUCCAGCAAUGUCCUUUUGUCCUGACAAGGCCAUGCUCUUUCUGGGAGGAGAGGUUCUCCAGGCUCAUGAUGCAGGCAGUGGACAGAGGCCACUGCCCACCUUCCCUAGAGCACAGCUUCGCCUACUGUCUUGAUCAAGUCCUCCAGUUCCAGACAGAUCACCUUGAGACCUUCCCAGCAGAGAGAGAGACCAGAGGAUGCUUCCCAGGUAAGAACCACCCUUUUCCAGCGGUCACCAAAGGAGAAAGACUGAUGUGAAACACACGUCAUCAGCCGCAAGACUGGGGGAGGGUCUUCUCCAAGAACUACUCUUCACUCACUCACUGAACAAGCAUCUGCUGAACUUGUGUGGACCAGGCCCUAUGCUAUAGACAUGGGCAGUGCACGGAUGGACCAGACUGGACUUCAGAGUCUGGAUUUAUAAAAGAAAGCACAUAGGAAUAUAUGUCUAUAUCUCACGAUAAGCAAUUAUCAAAGAAGAAGGCGGCCGAGGCAGGUAAUUACAGCAGAGGUGGGAGGGGUGGCUAAGCUAAGACCUGAAGGUCAGGGUGUUAGUCGUGCAAAGAGAGUGGAGGAGGGGCAAGCCCUCCAAGGAGAGGGAGCAGCACAUCAAAGGCCAGGGAGAAGGAAGGCGCCUGGCAUGACUGAGGAAGAGAAAUGUGGCUGGUGUGGCUGCUGAUGGUGAAGGAAAAGACGGUGAGAGACGAGACUGGAAGAGCGCAGGCUCAGGUCGUGAAGAGUUUGGUAGGUCACGACGAGGAACUGGAAUUAAUCCAAAUAAACUGGGAAAAGCCAGCGGGGGCUUUAUGAAGUAGAGGACAUGAACGCAUCCGUCUGCUCGGGCAGCCACAGCAGAGGACCAUGGCCGAGUGGCUUAAAUAACAGAGAUGCAUGGUCUCACGUUGUCCGAGGAGGCUAGAAACCUGAGAUCCCGGAGUCCGUAGGCGUGGUUCCUUCCAAAGCCGGGAAGGAAACCUGUUUCAUGCCUCCCCCAGCUUCCGUGUUUGCUGGCGAUCCCUGGCACCUCUUCUAGACGGCAUUGCCCUCGUGUCUCCACAUCACCUUCCCUCUGAGCAUUUCUCCUCCUCCUCCACGUGGCAUCGCUUCCAACGGGGCCCCGGUCGUAGCGGAUAGGCACCCACCUGCUCCGCACGGCCUCAUCUCAACGACUCUCUUUCCAAACCAGGUCACUGCGUCCUGAGGCACCGUGAAGGGGGGCGGGGCAGCUCCCCCCGAAACACACACUUUGUAAGGUUCCUCUCUGCUCGGUGUGAACGGGGAGAGCAGGCAGUCUGAGCAGAGGUGGACAGGCCGGUGGGAAGGGGGAUGUCACUGCCGUCAAGGUGAAGGGGUGAAGGUCGAUGUGUACCUGGCCAAGGAGUCCAAGGGGAUGCAGCCUAUAUUUUGUUGCUCAAACCAGCACGACCGCUGGUGGAUUGUAUCUUGCUGGUGAGGGAAAGGGGUGAAUCGAGGAUAACUGUAAGUUUCUGGCUUGAGCCGGAAGAAAGAUGGUGAUGAAAUUUAUGAGAUGAGGAGGAAUUGGGGAUUAGAGACACAUUUUGGGAUAGAGCCCCGUGGUUUUAUUUUGGAUAUGUUAAGUUUGAGGCGUGCACGAACCAUCCAAGUAGAGAGACCAAGUAGGCCGUGGCAUAUAAGAAUCGGGAGUACGAAGAAGUCUGCUGCAGAUAUCGACGUGGAGGCAUCAGCAUACAGCAGCUUUACAAUGGCUGGGAAUGGGAGCGGUGGGGGGUGUCCUCCUCCCUGCUCGUCCUGUUCCCCAGCCGGCCCCGCUGCACCCGUGCCUUAUCCUGGCAUCUCCACGGAGCAGCCCAGGGGUCAGGGAUGUUCUGAAGUGCAGGCGCAGAGGCUCCGUCACCCUUCCUCAAGGGAGGCAGAGUGCUGGGGCCCUGACUGUCUAGUGAGCCCCCGUGACGGGCCACACUGGGCUCUGCCCGGAUCCACAGCCCUUGGUUUCUGGAGAAGAUGGAGACGGAGCUCUCCCAGGUUUGUAUCCAGCACAGACCGUCCGCACCCGAGGCACCCACGCAGCCCAAGGUGCAUGGCCACUAAGUCCUCCCAACACGGGUGAGCACGCGUCCACACAGCGCGUCCCUUCCCCAGAAAUGACCUAAACUUUGUGAGGUUCACGUGUCCCUGGCGAUGAUCUCAUUUGCCUGCUUCAAAAGCGCUUUGGUCUGCACAGCCUGUAGCAGCAAAUUUACACUUCAAAAAGCAGAGUUUUUUCCACACCGUAUUCACGUAAUGGGUGAGAAUGUAAAAUUCGUUCCGUUGCUGAUGAGGUCCUUGAGCCAAAUGAGAGGUGUUCAUUUGUCAGCACAGACGCACAGCCCGAGACGCGGUUAGGUAGCUAAUCCAAUAAUGGGUCUUGAUGCUGCGCAUUUAUUUAUACACAGUGUGUCUUGUUAUCUGUUGAUAAUCAGGACCCACAAUUUACUCUUUCUUGUGCAUGUAGUGUGAAAUAGCAACGUCGCCCAGACACAUUGCGUUUAAGUACCAACAUGCAGACACAUACGAAAAGCGCCGUCCUCAGCAAAAUAUUUUAUUUGCUUUCUGUUAAAAACGGAAGAGAGAAUUGGUGCUUAAACUCAGGCCUUUUAAUACGUUAAAAUAUAAACAGUAAAUAACCUACGAGGCCCUUCUCAGAACGAAGGGUUUAAAAAAAAAAAAAAAAAAAAAA
rnacentral:lncRNA from 1 species